rnacentral:rRNA from 1 species
UACGGAGGGUGCAAGCGUUAUCCGGAUUCACUGGGUUUAAAGGGUGCGUAGGUGGGCAGGUAAGUCAGUGGUGAAAUCUCUGGGCUUAACUCAGAAACUGCCAUUGAUACUAUCUGUCUUGAAUACCGUGGAGGUCAGCGGAAUAUGUCAUGUAGCGGUGAAACGCUUAGAUAUGACAUAGAACACCAAUUGCGAAGGCAGCUGGCUACACGAAUAUUGACACUGAUGCACGAAAGCGUGGGGAUCAAACAGG